UCCGUAGGUGAACCUGCGGAAGGAUCACUAAAGUAAACGCCCUCCGGGGCUCUCUUUAAUUCACACACCCCUGUGCACUUUGGCCACCUGCCGCGCUUUACUGCGUUAGUAGGUGUGUCUUUUUAACUAUACACUAUAUACACAAGUCAUUGAAUGUAAAAUCGUUAUAAACUAAUAUAACUUUCAACAACGGAUCUCUUGGUUCUCGCAUCGAUGAAGAACGCAGCGAAUUGCGAUAAGUAAUGUGAAUUGCAGAAUUCAGUGAAUCAUCGAAUCUUUGAACGCAUCUUGCGCUCUUUGGUAUUCCGAAGAGCAUGCCUGUCUGAGUGUCAUGAAACUCUCACUCCUCAUCUUUCUUUAUUGAGAGGUAGGGACGUGGAUUUGGAUCUGUUGCUGGUGAAUCUGAUUCAUCGGCUCGUCCGAAAUAUAUUAGCUGGAUCCUCUUUGUCAAUUGGUUCUACUCGACGUAAUAAGUAUUUCGUCGAGGACGGUCUUCGGAUCGGCCGAUAGAAAGAGUCUUUUUUUAGAUCCGCUUCUAAUCCGUGCGAUUUUAUUAUCCACACACUUUUAUGAUCUGGCCUCAAAUCAGGUGGGACUACCCGCUGAACUUAAGCAUAUCAAUAAGCGGAGGAAAAGAAACUAACAAGGAUUCCCCUAGUAACGGCGAGUGAAGCGGGAUGAGCUCAAAUUUAAAAUCUGGCAGUCUAAGAUUGUCCGAGUUGUAGUCUAGAGAAGCGUUUUCCGCGUAGGCCUGUGUACAAGUCCCUUGGAAUAGGGCGUCAUAGAGAGUGAGAAUCCCGUCCUUGACACAGAUCAUCUAUGCUCUGCGAUGCGCUCUCGAAGAGUCGAGUUGUUUGGGAAUGCAGCUCAAAAUGGGUGGUAAAUUCCAUCUAAAGCUAAAUAUUGGCGAGAGACCGAUAGCGAACAAGUACCGUGAGGGAAAGAUGAAAAGCACUUUGGAAAGAGAGUUAAACAGUACGUGAAAUUGUUGAAAGGGAAACGCUUGAAGU
rnacentral:sRNA from 1 species